rnacentral:tRNA from 1 species
AAGAUUUUAAGUUAAAUUAAACUAGUAGCCUUCAAAGCUUCAAAUCAACAAUCUUA